rnacentral:rRNA from 1 species
GUGUCAGCAGCCGCGGUAAUACGAGAGGUCCAAACGUUAUUCGGAAUCACUGGGCUUACAGAGUUCGUAGGCGGUCCAGAAAGUGGGGUGUGAAAGCCCUCGGCUCAACCGAGGAACUGCGCUCCAAACUACUGGGCUAGAGGAAGAUAGAGGUGAGCAGAACUGAUGGUGGAGCGGUGAAAUGCGUUGAUAUCAUCAGGAAUACCGGAGGCGAAGGCGGCUCACUGGGUCUUUUCUGACGCUGAGGAACGAAAGCUAGGGGAGCAAACGGGAUUAGAUACCCUUGUAGUCC